rnacentral:rRNA from 1 species
GACGAACGCUGGCGGCAUGCCUAAUACAUGCAAGUCGAGCGAACAGAUGAAGUGCUUGCACUUCUGACGUUAGCGGCGAACGGGUGAGUAACACGUAAGGAAUCUACCUAUAAGCGGGGGAUAACAUUCGGAAACGGGUGCUAAUACCGCAUAAUAUCUUCUUCCGCAUGGAAGAAGAUUGAAAGACGGCUCUGCUGUCACUUAUAGAUGACCUUGCGGUGCAUUAGUUAGUUGGUGGGGUAAUGGCCUACCAAGACAAUGAUGUAUAGCCGACCGGAGAGGGUGAUAGGCCACGUUGGGACUGAGACACGGCCCAAACUCCUACGGGAGGCAGCAGUAGGGAAUCUUCCGCAAGGGGCGAAAGCCUGAGGGGGCAAUGCCGCGUGAGUGAAGAAGGCCUUCGGGGCGUAAAACGCUGUUAUAAGAGAAGAACAAAUUGUAGAGUAACUGCUACAGUCUUGACGGUAUCUUAUCAGAAAGCCACGGCUAACUACGUGCCAGCCGCCGCAGUAA